CCCAGCCGUGGCCCAGGGGAGCCCAGGGCAGCAGGACAUGCCGAGGGCUGGACAAGGCAGGGAUAUGUGCACAGUGUCUGGGCAGCAGAGCCGUGGACCAUGGGGAGCACGACUUGCAUGCAGUUUCAUACACAAUGUUGCUACAGCGUGGCUGCCCAAAAUUCCCAACAAUGGUACUGACCAUCAGCUUCCAUCCCAUCACCUCUGACAAGUGCUGGAGCCCAGGACAUGAAAUGUAUUCCCUCAGACUAGCCUGUGACACAAAAGCUAAUCCCAGCCUCAGCAGCACCAACACCCUUGUCUCUCAGGCAUCUGCCCAGUGGCAAGCCAGAUGAUGUAUUAUUUUCCCAAGGCAUGCUCAUCCAGGGAGAUUGUCCUCAGAGCAGGAGAGCAUCAGCAUGGUCUGCAAGCAGAACAUUGAGCAGAGGGACCUGCAGGCAAAAUAACCUUGGAGGGGCAUCACCACAUACUGUACAUAGGAUAAGCAGGAGCUGCAUGGCAAUCAUCCUCAGUGUGACUUCCUAGGGGCUGAGAGAAGUGAGCACCUGCUGUGGCUGACAAGUGACUCUCUUGAUCGUAUGUACUUGCAAAGAGCUUUGGAAGACGGUUGCUGCCUCUUUCUACCACUUAGCACUGUUUGCAGAUUACAGCAGCUGAGUAUUACAAAUUUAAUUCCAGCAUUCUCAGCCAUACGUGGUGAUUUCCAGUAGUGGUCCACAGAGCUUACCAUCUGUGGAUGUCAUUUUUAGGAAAGGGGCCCUCAGAAGCAUUCAGAGAAGAAGGACUGAUCUGUCUCUCUUGGCAAAUGAGGAUGGGUUGUCUGGUAUCCCUUUAUAGGCUUUCACUCCCUUUGGGUGCUGGCAGUACACAGAAACCCAUGCUCUUAACAGUUCUAAGGAGUCAGAUCCCACCUCAGGCUGGUACAUGAAAGCCAAAAAAUGUUAACAAUAAAAAUCCCUGAAUUACAGCGAUUUCUGAAAAUAUGUGACUCUGUAAUAAAGGGUUGGGCUCCUGACUCAUGAGAAGCAAUUUGAUUUACAGAAACAGCUCACUCCUGAGGCAGGCUGAUCUACCAUGUGUUAAACAAGCAUUUCUUGAUAGGCUGCUUCCCACAGCCAGAGCCAUGAUCUCCACUUCCUCCCCAGCUCCCCUGCAUCAACGUGCUGUCCUGGGCUGGACCAGCCUCAGGUGGGAGUGGGAUGGAUGGCUGAGCCAGGGCAUGAGAAUCAGGCUGGGAAACGUCACCCACUAUGAGUAAUGCUGCUGCUGGUGCCUCUGGGAUGUAUCAGGAAGAGUUUUGUACUGCAGGAAGGUGAGCUGCUCUGUAAUUAUUUCCUGUGAGCUGCAGGAGAGCUUGCCUGCCCUUCUGGGCACGGAUGGGUAAUUAUGGGCCCACACCAGAGGAAUAAACAACCUCAUGCAUAUGACUUGGACAGUGUCACCACUGUGGAGCUGGUGAU